rnacentral:rRNA from 1 species
GCGCUUAACACAUGCAAGUCGCACGAGAAAGAGGGGGCAACUCCUUGAGUAAAGUGGCGCACGGGUGAGUAACACGUGGAUUAUCUACCUUUUAGUGGGGAAUACCCCCGGGAAACUGGGGACAAUUCCGCAUAAUCUCGCGAGAGGAAAGCAGCAAUGCGCUGAAAGAGGAGUCCGCGGCUGAUUAGCUGGUUGGUGAGGUAAUGGCUCACCAAGGCAAAGAUCGGUAGCCGGCCUGAGAGGGCACACGGCCACACUGGCACUGAAACACGGGCCAG